CCUUCGAUAGCUCAGCUGGUAGAGCGGAGGACUGUAGCCUGUAGAAACAUCUGUGGACAUCCUUAGGUCGCUGGUUCGAUUCCGGCUCGAAGGA
rfam:Macaca mulatta chromosome 7, whole genome shotgun sequence.